ensembl:snRNA U6 U6 spliceosomal RNA
GUGCUUGCUUCGGCAGCACAUAUACUAAAAUUGGAACGAUACAGUGAGGAUUAGCAUGACUCAAUGUGAUGACAUUUUCCCUUUUUUCUUUCAUGCUAUUUUA